rnacentral:rRNA from 1 species
GAUGAACGCUAGCUACAGGCUUAACACAUGCAAGUCGAGGGGCAGCAUGAACUUAGCUUGCUAAGUUUGAUGGCGACCGGCGCACGGGUGAGUAACACGUAUCCAACCUUCCGUUUACUCAGGGAUAGCCUUUCGAAAGAAAGAUUAAUACCUGAUAGUAUGGUGAGAUUGCAUGAUAACACCAUUAAAGAUUUAUUGGUAAACGAUGGGGAUGCGUUCCAUUAGGUAGUAGGCGGGGUAACGGCCCACCUAGCCUGCGAUGGAUAGGGGUUCUGAGAGGAAGGUCCCCCCACAUUGGAACUGAGACACGGUCCAAAACUCCUACGGGAGGCAGCAGUGAGGAAUAUUGGUCAAUGGACGAGAGUCUGAACCAGCCAAGUAGCGUGAAGGAUGAAGGUCCUACGGAUUGUAAACUUCUUUAUAAGGGAAUAAAGUAUCCUACGUGUAGGAUUUUGUAUGUACCGUAUGAAUAAGCAUCGGCUAACUCCGUGCCAGCAGCCGCGGU